rnacentral:rRNA from 1 species
GACGAACCGUGCGAACGUUGUUCGGAUUCACUGGGCUUAAAGGGCGCGUAGGCGGCCUGGUAAGUAGGGGGUGAAAUCCUGCGGCUUAACCGCAGGGCUGCCUUCUAAACUGUCAGGCUUGAGCACGGUAGAGGCAGAUGGAAUUCCCGGUGUAGCGGUGGAAUGCGUAGAGAUCGGGAAGAACAUCAGUGGCGAAGGCGGUCUGCUGGGCCGUUGCUGACGCUGAGGCGCGACAGCGUGGGGAGCAAACAGG